UUCUUUUCUUUUAUAGUUACUUUGUUAUCAUCCCCUUCUAAACUGCCUUCAGUAUCUGGGAUAAGGAAGACAAGGCUUAAUGACCACUAAGGUUCUAGCUGACAUCUUUCAUACUGAAUUUUUGUAAAGUAAUCUAACAAGCUGCCAAAGAACACAUCCCAAGUAGUAAUCACAGAUGAUGAAGCACCUUACAGGACACCUCCACCUUGAAACACGUGAGUGUCCAGAGAAGUAUUAAAGCCUUAAUAAUAGACUACUGAAGGUUAACUAUUUACAUUAUUCUAAAAAUAUUUUAAGCUGUAUUACAGUGCUAUAAAUUCUUCUUUUAAGGAAAAAAGUAAUAGAUUGUUUCCUUACCGUAUUCUGAAAGGAAAAAAAUAUAUCCAUAGUAACUA